UUGGCGGACGGGUGAGUAACGCGUGGGUAACCUGCCGUAUACAGGGGGAUAACACUUAGAAAUAGGUGCUAAAACCGCAUAAGCGCACAGCGCCGCAUGGCGCAGUGUGAAAAACUCCGGUGGUAUACGAUGGACCCGCGUCUGAUUAGCCAGUUGGCAGGGUAACGGCCUACCAAAGCGACGAUCAGUAGCCGGCCUGAGAGGGUGGACGGCCACAUUGGGACUGAGACACGGCCCAAACUCCUACGGAAGGCAGCAG
rnacentral:rRNA from 1 species